rnacentral:rRNA from 1 species
GGGUUGUGAGGUUAAGCGACUAAGCGUACACGGUGGAUGCCCUGGCAGUCAGAGGCGAUGAAGGACGUGCUAAUCUGCGAUAAGCGCCGGUAAGGUGAUAUGAACCGUUAUAACCGGCGAUUUCCGAAUGGGGAAACCCAGUGUGAUUCGUCACACUAUCAUUAACUGAAUCCAUAGGUUAAUGAGGCGAACCGGGGGAACUGAAACAUCUAAGUACCCCGAGGAAAAGAAAUCAACCGAGAUUCCCCCAGUAGCGGCGAGCGAACGGGGAGGAGCCCAGAGCCUGAAUCAGCAUGUGUGUUAGUGGAAGCGUCUGGAAAGGCGCGCGAUACAGGGUGACAGCCCCGUACACAAAAGCGCAUGUGCUGUGAGCUCGAUGAGUAGGGCGGGACACGUGGUAUCCUGUCUGAAUAUGGGGGGACCAUCCUCCAAGGCUAAAUACUCCUGACUGACCGAUAGUGAACCAGUACCGUGAGGGAAAGGCGAAAAGAACCCCGGCGAGGGGAGUGAAAAAGAACCUGAAACCGUGUACGUACAAGCAGUGGGAGCACAGGUUUACCUGUGUGACUGCGUACCUUUUGUAUAAUGGGUCAGCGACUUAUAUUCU